CCUCUCGCUACUCUCGCCAUUCACGUCGUGGCGCGUAGUUGCUACCUGCUGCAUUCGUGAUACAAGACCGCCACGCAGUAUCAUAUCUAUCACCAUGCGUCGGAAGUAGGCCGGACGCAUCGGCUCUACGCGGUGCGGCACAGAGACCUACGCGUCGUCCUUGACUGCAGAAAGAAUCCAUCCACGGCGCCUGGUUUGCCUCGCCUUGCGAGCGUCGCCCCUGCUCUGCGUCAUCGCCUCAGUCCUCGAGCCAACCCUAAGCCUCACGGCCGUCCUCCUCCGCCAUUUACUGAACACCACGGCGAGGUCCUCCUCCUCCGCCGUGUACUGAGCUCGACCACGGCGAGCUCCUGAUACCGCGUCCGUGUCUCCGUCGAGCACACCCUGCUUCCUCUUCUUCCACAGCACCUGACAUGAGAGAGAAAGGGGCCUCUCGAUGCAAAGGGCAGGGCCCAAAGUGCGAAGCGCGGUGUGCCGGGAUCGAUCCAUCGAGGACUCUCGAGCUCCACUGCAGCAGCACCGCUUCCGUGUCCUUCAGCCUCCGCCUACAGCAAGCUCCACAAGCACUGGCUUUUGCAUCAACCACGCAGGCCCUGCUUAUGGUUGUAUUUGCAACCAUCACUACAGAUGGUGUCAAGUCGCUUCCUCCCUCCUGUUCAGCUCUCGAUCUCCACGGCGUUUAAUUUGCAUCCCGCCAUCAAAGUAAGGAGAGAACAGAUACCUUCCAAAGGUCAGUGGGGAGCUCACGAACUCUUUCCUUUUGUCCUCGGAUAUCCAUGGUCCUCAACGAUGGAAAUGGACACAUAUUUGGUGCACAAUCCAUCCAUACGAUUCAGAAGGCACAAACUCUAGGUCAGUCAAUUAUCAGCCAAUGUUGAUAAUAAUCCUUUUGGUAAUUAUACAUUGAUUGUUCAUCUUCGAUUGUUGUUAACUUUGCUUCAUUAGGUUUUUUACUCCUUUUUGCCAUUGUUUAAUUUUUGUUGUAUUAUAUGUGUUUAGACCAAAUCACUCAUGACAUUCCAUACUGAUUUUUGGUACCUGCAUAUUAUGGUUGUUCUUAAGCCCUCAGCAACUGUAUAUGUGUUCAAAAUUAUAUAUGCAUGCAGAAUGUGUAAGCCUGUAGAAGCAUAUUUUUUCCCCACCAUGCAGCUCACAGGUGGAAUGGGUCGCCAGAGCUUGUCAAAAGCCAAGGUGGGCCAUCAUCACUGACUGGUAUGUCACAGGGUACCACAACAAAUUCUUUUGUACCUUGGUGGUGUAAUAGUUUUUUUUGUCUAAAUUGGUUUUUCUACAUGAUAGCUCCCUGCAGAAAUCUACAUGAUAACUCCCCGCAGAAAUGUGACAUGACAUGAUCAAUUGUCUAUUUAGUUGAGCAAGUUUACUAGAACUACAAUCUUAUUUAAUUUGUUAUGGAAAACUAAUAUGAAAAGAAAAAUCUUUGAGUGGUUAGUGAAAUCAAUAUAUCCAAAGGAGCUACUUAUACAUAGCUUUGUUUUGUGACACAAAUUAAAGUUCAUCUCUGUGGUUUGUCAAACAGCAAUAAGCAAUGCCAAGCAAACAAAUACCAAGGACUGCAACCUUCAGUUAUAGUACCUUCACUAUUACAACACCGUACAUAGUGCAGAAAACUAUGGCUGCUCCUAUGACGACCAUGGAAUUGACAUCCUCUAAUAUAGAUGUGCAUGUGUUUCAUUUAUGAGAUGUAUUUUCCUUUUAAAGAAAGGAUAGCUGUUGACAAUAGUUGGAAGAACAUGAUGAAGGGACCUCCUAGAGCAGCAUGGAGCUGUCAUUAAGUGAUACCUUAUUCAUAUGUACCUUAUGCCAUAUUUGUGACCUAUUGUUGUUUCAUUUUGAACUGA